GACGAACGCUGGCGGCGUGCUUAACACAUGCAAGUCGAACGGUGAAGCGCCUUCCUUUUUGGUGGGUGUGGAUGAGUGGCGAACGGGUGAGUAACACGUGAGUAACCUGCCCCCUUCUUCUGGAUAACCGCAUGAAAGUGUGGCUAAUACGGGAUAUUCUGGGUCUGUCGCAUGAUGGGUCUGGGAAAGAUAUUGUUUCGGUGGGGGAUGGGCUCGCGGCCUAUCAGCUUGUUGGUGGGGUGAUGGCCUACCAAGGCGGUGACGGGUAGCCGGCCUGAGAGGGUGGACGGUCACACUGGGACUGAGACACCGGCCAGACUCCUACGGGAGGCAGCAGUGGGGAAUAGUGCACGAUGGGCGCAAGCCUGAUGCAGCGACGCCGCGUGAGGGAUGGCGGCCUUCGGGUUGGGAACCUCUUUCGCCAGUGAAGCAGGCCUGCCUCGUUUGUGGGUGGGUUGACGGUAGCUGGAUAAGAAGCGCCGGCUAACUACGUG
rnacentral:rRNA from 1 species